rnacentral:lncRNA from 1 species
UCAUCUAUACCCUUCCCUUCUAGUUCUCACCCUGUGUUACAUGGAUACCUGCCAGUCUGGAGCUCCAAUGCCAACCAUUUCGACCAUUUCUCUGGACCUCAGGUGCGUGUUCCCACCUGCUCCCUGGACAAUCCCAUUUAAAAUAUCUCCUGAUUAAUUCAGACCCAUCUUUUCCAGAGAGAAUACUUCCUCUCCUUCUUCCAAAACUCUUCUUUCCCUUCUUUAUUUCCUAUCAUGGCUAAUAACAAAAGCAUUCACUAAAACUAGAUGUUGCCCUUUUUAUUAACCAUUUUUUUUUUCUUUCUCAUCUCCAACAUGAAAUUGGUCACUGCAUUUGGAAAUCUACCUAAGAGUCUCGUCAACUACUUCUUCCUUUAAAAUCCCUUCAUCCUUGACUUAAUCCAUCUCUCACAAUUUCAUCUGAGGAUGGCUACAAUUUGUUUCUACAACAAACUUGUUUUUUCCCAAUACAGAGAUAUGAAUACACUGCUCUUAUUUUCUUUGAUGGUUUCCCAAAGUUACAGAACAAGAUUCAACUUCUUGACUUGGCUCUAUGCAUCUUCAAACUUAACCUUUCACCCCUUUCCCAGUUACAUUUCCAUAUACCCUCCUCCUGUCUUUCCUUCCCAACAAUCCUGAAUUACCUCAGAUAUGCUACCACAACCCUAUGCCUUUGCUUAUGGUGUUACUUCUGCCCAGCACUGACUGCAUUUCUCUGGUAUAUUGAUAUCAAUGAUUAAGAUCCAAACAACAUGAAACAUUUUUGUUUCAUUCUCAAAUGGAGACCACAUAAUCAUUUCAGUCUCAAAGCCUCCACAGUACUUUGUUCCAACAUCAUCUUCUGCUGUUGUGAUUGUGACCAAAUUUCUGGCCAGAUUAUGAAUUUGAGAGUCAGAGUGAUUUUUAUUCAUUUUUAAGAUAAUCUUAGUACUCCAACAGACUGUAAGAGCUGAAAAAAAAACCACGAUCAUUAAAUGAAUGAGUUCUGCCUUCGAACACAAUAUGACAUUCUUAACAAUGAUUCUUCAAAGUUUGAAGAAUCGGGAUCAUUCAAAUCCGGCUAAAGAGUUUGCUUCUGCCUUACCCUUAGAGGUAGAUGAGACCCCUUCAAGACUAAUUCCUUUCUGAUGUUCUCCCUGAUUUCCACGAUUUCCACUCGUCCUUGACUGCGUGGCCCACUGCUUAUUUUCAGGGCUCCUUUGAUGAGUACUGAAGCAUAGGUGUUUACCGGAGGGAGAAUGGCUUAUUUUGGAGUAAGGGCACAUUUACAUCAUCACAAAAUACUAGGAAAUAGAAGGGUAAAAAUAAGAGUGAACAGAUUUUGACUCAUAGCUAAAAGAGUAGUUUGAUGCUAUAUACAGUAUAUGAUUGUGUACAACGAUUAAAUUCCUUUUAUUUAGUGCAGCCUGAUCAUCUGUACCUUUAAGGAAAGGUGAUUCUGGAGAUCUAGAGCCAAUCCUCUGCCCCCUUAAAAUAAGUAUUAUCUUUAUUUUUUAUUUUUUUUUUGUCUUUUUGCCAUUUCUUGGGCCUCUCCCGCGGCAUAUGGAGGUUCCCAGGCUAGGGGUCCAAUCGGAGCUGUAGCCACCGGCCUACACCAGAGCCACAGCAACACAGGAUCCGAGCCGAGUCUGCGAACUACACAACAGCUCACAGCAAUGUCAGAUCGUUAACCCACUGAGCAAGGCCAGGUAUCAAACC